GUUGACCUCGGAUCAGGUAGGAAUACCCGCUGAACUUAAGCAUAUCAAUAAGCGGAGGAAAAGAAACCAA
rnacentral:rRNA from 2 species